GACGAACCGAGCGAACGUUGUUCGGAAUCACUGGGCUUAAAGGGCGCGUAGGCGGAUUCUCAAGUCCGGGGUGAAAUCCCACAGCUCAACUGUGGAACUGCCUCGGAUACUGGGAGUCUCGAGGUGGCAGGGUAUGCGGAACUAUCGGUGGAGCGGUGAAAUGCGUUGAUAUCGAUAGGAACUCCGGUGGCGAAGGCGGCAUACUGGUCCACUUCUGA
rnacentral:rRNA from 1 species